GGACUACCCGGGUUUCUAAUCCUGUUUGCUCCCCACGCUUUCGCGUCUCAGCGUCAGUCACGUCCCAGCGAGCUGCCUUCGCCAUUGGUGUUCCUCCUGAUAUCUGCGCAUUUCACCGCUACACCAGGAAUUCCACUCGCCCCUUCCGGACUCUAGCCUGACAGUAUCCACCGGCAUUCCAGGGUUGAGCCCUGGACUUUCACAGCAGACUUAUCAAACCGCCUACACGCUCUUUACGCCCAAUGAUUCCGGACAACGCUUGCACCCUACGUAUUACCGCGGCGGCUGGCAC
rnacentral:rRNA from 1 species